rnacentral:rRNA from 1 species
GAUGAACGCUAGCGGCAGGCCUAAUACAUGCAAGUCGAACGGGCACCUUCGGGUGUUAGUGGCGCACGGGUGCGUAACGCGUAAGCAACCUACCUUCUACUGGGGGAUAGCCCUGGGAAACCGGGAGUAAGCCCGCAUAAGACAAUAGCCGGACAUCCGGUCGUUGUUAAAGCUUUUGUGGUAGAAGAUGGGCUUGCGUCUGAUUAGUUAGUUGGCGAGGUAACGGCUCACCAAGACGAUGAUCAGUCGGGGCUCUGAGAGGAGCGGCCCCCACACUGGCACUGAGACAGGGGCCAGACUCCUACGGGAGGCAGCAGUAGGGAAUAUUGGGCAAUGGCGGAAACGCUGACCCAGCCAUGCCGCGUGCCGGAUGAAGGCGCUCAGCGUUGUAAACGGCUUUUAUCCACGAAGAACGGCCAGGGUGCGCCCUGGUGUGACGGUAGUGGAGGAAUCAGCACCGGCUAACUCCGUGCCAGCAGCCGCGGUAAAAC